CCCUUAGAUGUCCUGGGCCGCACGCGUGCUACACUGACGCCUACAGCGAGUACUUCCCAGCCCCGAGAGGUGGCUGGUAAUCAGCAAUAGGCGUCGUGAUGGGGAUAGAUCUUUGGAAUUAUAGAUCUUGAACGAGGAAUGCCUAGUAAGCGCAGGUCAUUAGCCUGCGCUGAUUAAGUCCCUGCCCUUUGUACACACCGCCCGUCGCUCCUACCGAUUUCGAGUGGUCCGGUGAAUCUUUCGGACUGCGCGCGGCCUCGUGCCGUGUCGCGGAAAGUCAGGUAAACCUUAUCACUUAGAGGAAGGAGAAGUCGUAACA
rnacentral:rRNA from 1 species